GACGAACGCUGGCGGCGUGCUUAACACAUGCAAGUCGAACGGAAAGGCCCUGCUUUUGUGGGGUGCUCGAGUGGCGAACGGGUGAGUAACACGUGAGUAACCUGCCCUUGACUUUGGGAUAACUUCAGGAAACUGGGGCUAAUACCGGAUAGGAGCUCCUGCUGCAUGGUGGGGGUUGGAAAGUUUCGGCGGUUGGGGAUGGACUCGCGGCUUAUCAGCUUGUUGGUGGGGUAGUGGCUUACCAAGGCUUUGACGGGUAGCCGGCCUGAGAGGUUGACCGGCCAAAUUGGGACUGAGAUACGGCCCAGACUCCUACGGGAGGCAGCAGUGGGGAAUAGUGCACAAUGGGCGGAAGCCUGAUGCAGCAACGCCGCGUGCGGGAUGACGGCCUUCGGGUUGUAAACCGCUUUCGCCUGUGACGAAGCGUGAGUGACGGUAAUGGGUAAAGAAGCACCGGCUAACUACGUG
rnacentral:rRNA from 1 species